GACGAACGCUGGCGGCGUGCUUAACACAUGCAAGUCGAACGGAAAGGCCCUGCUUUUGUGGGGUGCUCGAGUGGCGAACGGGUGAGUAACACGUGAGUAACCUGCCCUUGACUUUGGGAUAACUUCAGGAAACUGGGGCUAAUACCGGAUAGGAGCUCCUGCUGCAUGGUGGGGGUUGGAAAGUUUCGGCGGUUGGGGAUGGACUCGCGGCUUAUCAGCUUGUUGGUGGGGUAGUGGCUUACCAAGGCUUUGACGGGUAGCCGGCCUGAGAGGGUGACCGGCCACAAUGCGACUGAGAUACGGCCCAGACGCCUACGGGAGGCAGCAGUGGGGAAUAUUGCACAAUGGGCGGAAGCCUGAUGCAGCAACGCCGCGUGCGGGAUGACGGCCUUCGGGUUGUAAACCGCUUUCGCCUGUGACGAAGCGUGAGUGACGGUAAUGGGUAAAGAAGCACCGGCUAACUACGUG
rnacentral:rRNA from 1 species